ACUUAUAGUUGUUGGCAUUUCGGGUGGCAACUUGAUUCAAAACUCGUAUAGGUGGUCAACAACUGAAGGCAAUAAAUCUAUUGUCCUUGCAACUAUGCUCCGUAAGAAUAGAAAAUAUGGAAAUUUGGAAACUUCAAGUUACACCACCCUUGCAUUUAACCCGGAUCAUCCUUCAGCACGUGCACUUGAUGACAUUCGCCAGAAAAUAAUAGGUGGGUUGAUUGACAUGGAGUUUGUUCGAGAAUUUAUUGAGAAGAGGUGGGAUUUGCUAGCAAGCGGGCUGUCUACAAAUGAUCCCCGACACAAGAUGUAUACAAAGAAAGCUCGAUCCAUGUAGUAGAGAUAGCAGAAAUCAGUUGUCUAUUACGCAUGAUUGUGCCUUUCAAUUUAUAAGUUUAGUUGUCUCGUGA